UACGUAGGGUGCAAGCGUUGUCCGGAAUUAUUGGGCGUAAAGAGCUCGUAGGCGGUUUGUCGCGUCUGCUGUGAAAACUCGAGGCUCAACCUCGGGCCUGCAGUGGGUACGGGCAGACUAGAGUGCGGUAGGGGAGAUUGGAAUUCCUGGUGUAGCGGUGGAAUGCGCAGAUAUCAGGAGGAACACCAAUGGCGAAGGCAGAUCUCUGGGCCGUAACUGACGCUGAGGAGCGAAAGCAUGGGGAGCGAACAGG
rnacentral:rRNA from 1 species